UCUUAUCCCUAAAUAAACAUAAGGUUAUUUGGGAUGGUCAAGAAAAUGCUCUUCUAGGCAGGUGAACUGAGCUUUGAAGUCAACUUGAGAUUUGAAGGAGUAGAAGUGAGAAAGGAGUACAUUCCAUCCAAAGAAACAGGAGAUGGAGUGCCAUGUGUAAAGAAUCUUGACAAGGCCAGUUUUGAUGAACUGAAGAGUGGGUGAAACGGAGGCUUGUAUAAUGAGCCUGGAAAGGUCUCUCCCCUCCUGACUGAAGAAGAUGGAGAGUGAACACUAGAGAACUCCUCCCAGAUCCUCCACAAUUUAUGAAGGGUGCCCAGAGGAUUUACCUCAUCAUUUCCUCCCCUACUACUUUCUUGGACUUCAAGAUCUCCAGAAAGUCAUCAUUCUGCAAGACCUCAUCGAGAUAAGAGAAGAGCAAGACAGAGAUUGCCAGUGCCUGUGGAGCUGUGAAUGCCACUUGGAGGGGUGCUUGUCUUCCUUCCCAAAGAGAUGGGAGUUCAUUUUGAGAUUUCUGAUGACUCUCCAGCUUAACUUCACAGAGAAUGGUAUUCUUGUACCUUUGGAAAAGUAUUUGGAUUAAUGUAACAAACUUUACAACUAAAUAAAAAAUUUGAAUUUGUAGAACAUUAAUAAAUUAUUUA